GGUCCUGGUGCCAGAAAGUGCCAGCCAUUCAGAGAUUGUCUCACUGAUGGAGGGGGAGUUUACUAAGCUGAGCCCUCUCAUGGGGAGGUGGAUGUUUUUUAAAGCCACAGGUGGCAGUGGCCAGAGGAAAUUGAGCAUCAUUCC